CAGUAGCCACGGUAAUACGAAGGGUGCAAGCGUUAAUCGGAAUUACUGGGCGUAAAGCGUGCGUAGGCGGUGAGUUAAGUCUGCUGUGAAAUCCCCGGGCUCAACCUGGGAAUGGCAGUGGAUACUGGCUCGCUAGAGUGUGUCAGAGGAUGGUGGAAUUCCCGGUGUAGCGGUGAAAUGCGUAGAGAUCGGGAGGAACAUCAGUGGCGAAGGCGGCCAUCUGGGACAACACUGACGCUGUGGCACGAAAGCGUGGGGAGCAAACAGGAUUAGAGACCCCCGUAGUCCCUGUCUCUUAUAC
rnacentral:rRNA from 1 species